GCAUUAGCUAGUUGGUAAGGUAACGGCUUACCAAGGCGAUGAUGCAUAGCCGAGUUGAGAGACUGAUCGGCCACAAUGGAACUGAGACACGGUCCAUACUCCUACGGGAGGCAGCAGUAGGGAAUCUUCCACAAUGGGCGCAAGCCUGAUGGAGCAACACCGCGUGAGUGAAGAAGGGUUUCGGCUCGUAAAGCUCUGUUGUUGGAGAAGAACGUGCGUGAGAGUAACUGUUCGCGCAGUGACGGUAUCCAACCAGAAAGUCACGGCUAACUACGUGCCAGCAGCCGCGGUAAUACGUAGGUGGCAAGCGUUAUCCGGAUUUAUUGGGCGUAAAGCGAGCGCAGGCGGUUGCUUAGGUCUGAUGUGAAAGCCUUCGGCUUAACCGAAGAAGUGCAUCGGAAACCGGGCAACUUGAGUGCAGAAGAGGACAGUGGAACUCCAUGUGUAGCGGUGGAAUGCGUAGAUAUAUGGAAGAACACCAGUGGCGAAGGCGGCUGUCUGGUCUGCAACUGACGCUGAGGCUCGAAAGCAUGGGUAGCGAACAGGAUUAGAUACCCUGGUAGUCCAUGCCGUAAACGAUGAGUGCUAGGUGUUGGAGGGUUUCCGCCCUUCA
rnacentral:rRNA from 1 species